CAGGAUAUUUUUUCAUUCCUCAUUGCUGGUGAAAUACAUGCUUAUUUAUAUUGCAAUUCCUCACUAACAGAAUCACUAACAAAAUUGCAAUUGUGCCAGCUAGGGAAUAUUACAAAAUGACAAAUUCUGUUAUGCUUAUUUCCCCUGCUGCAGGUCAAGGCUAAUCCAGCAAGAUCCUGUGUGCCAGCUCAGUAGGUCAUCACACAUAAUCCUGAAGGUAUGUUGGUUUUGUAAUUCUUUUUUCCCCUUUUUUUGCUAUUUACACCUCUGUAUGAUUUCCUGUAAUUACCCCUGUGCUUGCCUCGGUAUCUGAUGCUUUGCUAACAGUAUGUUUGGUUUUUAGCUUGAAGGAUCAGAAGUAUGUUCAAAAAGCAAAACAGAAAAAACAUCUUGUUUCGUUUUUUAGUUGAGCCUAAUUAUUGUAAAGAAUUUUGUCACAAUUUUGCGUUGAAACUCAUCUUGAAAUUUAAGUAAAAGGAGAGUUGCUUUUACAAUCUUAAUUUGCAAAAUAAGUUAAACUUAAGUUUACAAAUUUUAAUCUAACCAUCCAUGUGUGUUAACUUUUAUAAUAAUAUCUUAAUUAAAACUCGUAUCAUCCGUGAUUUCUGAUAGAUUCACUUUGUAAAACCUUUUUUUCCAUUGUUAGAGACAUAAAUUAUGUCACAUUAGUUGGUACUUGGUAGGAAUAACAAUAACAUAAAACCAAGAAGUACCUUGUCAUCGAUGUAAGAAACCCAAAAUCGGGCAUUAGCUCGAUCAUAUGCAUUUUGUGGAAGGAUGGAGAGAGCAUUGUUGGACCAAACCUCAUCUAUGUACUCAACUAUGAUUGCAGAUUCACAUAUGACUUUAUCUCCAUGGAAGAAAACUGGGAUUUUCUUGUGCACAGGGUUGGACUUAAGAAGCAAUUCACUUUUGGGAUUCAAAGUCUCUUCAACAACCUCAUAAUCCAAACCCUUGAGGUUAAGGGCAAUCUGCACCCUCAGGGCAAAUGGACUGAACCAAGCACCCAAAAGCCUCAAGUCCCUUUCAGCCAUCACUGUUUACUAUAACAGGUCAAACACGGAGCAAUAUUGUGUUUGUUUUGUUAGGUUACUCAGCAGGAAAUGUGGAGUUUUAUGUAUGGGAAAGGAGGGUGAGAUAACAUUGUGUGAUAAGCAUGCUAGAAUAAAUUAUUAGGUAAUCCUAAAUCAUCCAUGUAUGUAUGGAAUAUUGACCAAUUUACAAGAAACAUAUAUUUAGAUUAUUUAAUUUUAAAAAAAUAAAUAUAUCCAGAUUAAAUCAGUGAUAAAUUAAACCACGACCACCUAAUAAUGUUUUCUUGAAUAGAGGCUACACCAAAUAUAUUAUGCAUUGAACGCAUCAAAUAUGUCGAUGACAACUGAUUAAAGAUAUUAUAUAAUGAUUAUUAAUAUAAUAAUACAAAUUAAAAAAGACAAAGGAAAUUACACGAUGCUGGAAUCAAAGUUCUUCUGCAAAAGUCAAAACUACCCAGGACGUCGUGAAUGUAGGAACCGCCGACGAUACUGACUUUAAAUGAGUUUUAUAUGUUCUUUCGUACUAUUGUAAUUAUAAUGAAAAAGAAAACCAGUCCUCAACAGAAUUUUAUCGUAAUGAAAGGAAAAAAAAAAUGUGACGCAAGUGAUGAAGUUAGAUGCCAAUAAAGUUCUUAAUAAAAACUAAAGAUGAAGGAAGCAAUGAUAAUAGAUGCCAACGUUUUCCACGGUUUCACAUCUUCUUCCUCCAGUUUUUCAAUAUUCAGUUUCAUAUAUCUUUAUUGUAUAAAGUCUUAUGUUCUGUGAUGACGUAUUGUCUUGACUCUUGAGGGCAAGAGAGACAUAAGAGAGUGAGAAUGCCAAAGACAUAGGGAGUAUUUUUUUUUCUUCUUAAAUUUAAUUUAAUAUCAUUUUAUUUUUAUUUAUUUAUAGAUAUUUUUAAUAUGGUGGCACUAUCUUUUUUAAUGUGUUGAACCCUUCAUAUUUAGGGUAGUGACUACUACCCAAGUUUUUCCCUUAGGAAAAUCAACUCAAAUUGUUUAAUGUGUCCAACUCUUCAUAAUUCAUAUAUAGGGUAGUGUUUUACCCAAGGCCUCCUCAAUAGUCAAUACAUGAACCCAAAAAGUUGAAAUUCACACAACAGUGGGACACAAUAAUUCAAGUGGGACAAACUAAUAGUACUGCAGUUCAAAGAACAAGCCAGAAUUGCGUUAUCUUGUUUUUCUUGAACGAUUCAAUAUUUAAAAGCCUUACGAAUGCAGUUUGACCAUUUGAGAUGAAAAAUAAUUUAUAAAUAUAAUAAGUGAUAUGACUUAAUAAGAAAAUUGAAAUACAAAGAAAUAAACGAUAAAAAAUAAGUAUUUGUAAUAUAUGAGAUAUAAUUGUUUAAUCUAUAAUAAAUUACCUCUAAUUUGAAUUGAGUUAUGUAAAUUUAUUCAAGAGGAUAAAUAUCUUUUGAUAUAUACUUUUAUUUGAUUUUUAAUUUGACUCUUAAUAAAAAUUAAACUUCUCAUCGUUUAGAGUUUGAUAUUCCACAUUUUUUUAAUUCUAGAAAAUUAUUUUGAUUUUUAAAUUUAGACUUUCACCUUUGUAUUGCAAUGUGUAAUUUUGAUAUUUUUAUUUUACAAUUUAUCUAAAUUUUUUUCAAUUUUUUUUACGUACCUAUUAGAGAUGAUAUGAUUGUUUGAUGCAUAGUGAGAUUUUUUUUUAUAAAGGUUAUUGUUUUUCGUCACAAAGCUGUAUGGUUGUUUUUCGUUCUCACACUUUUUUUAUUUACCCAAACCUACUUCAUGUAAAAAAAAAACAUUUUAAUAUUACGAAGAUAAAAAAUAUACUAAAAAUUUACAGAAACAAAUUUUAAAUAAUUUCAUAUUUAUAAGAAUAAAAAUCAUAUUUUAACAUAUACUUUUCACAUAUACUUGAUAUAAGUUGUGUGCCACCGGGCCCUCGUAUAAGUGGCUAGUAACUUAGGUUUUUUUAAAUAUAUAAUAGGACAAAAUUUGUUGGGAAAAGAAUUUUUCUUUAAUUGGUACUCUACUUUUUUUUAGUAAGUUUCAUGACUUUCGGUAGUGGAAAUAUUUUUGCUUCUAGAUAAAUAUAUAUAUAUAUAUAUAUAUAUAUAUAUAUAUAUAUAUAUAUAAGUUGUGUAUCUUUCCAAAUAAUAUUUUUUAGUAGAACCAUUACUAUAUUGCGUUUGAACAUGAUUUUGAAUUCUAAAUCACAAUUUAACUGAAAAUGGAAUAAAACUCUUUAUAUGUAAAACUAACCAUGCUAGCAGCCCAUGGAGAAGAAGAAGGGUAGUCUUGCAGAGAAGAUGGUGUUUUUGUUCAACAGUAUCCUCUUUAAGUUAGUCUGCUGUCAAGAGCUACCUGGCCACAAAACAAAUGGAUUGAGCCCACUUGAGGGAUUUUAUUGUAACUGUCCUCAAGAAACCGAAUCUCCUAAAAUAAAGAAAAAAGCAGGGUUCUUUGCUUCAUCAAACACUUUUCUUUCAUUCAUCUCUUCUAUCACUCUCAUCCAACUCCAAAGGCUCCCAAAAGCAAUGUCAAUAAUUCCAAUUGUAUCCCCUCCCAAAGUAGGCCUUUCCUUCACUGCACUUGUUGAACACUUCUUCCAUCCUCUCAAGUGCUUCUUCCAUUCCCACAAAGUGUGGCUUCUUUGCCUCAUCAUCUUGAUCAGCUGCUUCAGCCAAUAGAGCAUUCCGCAUGGACGUAUACCACUACUCCAAGACUAAAGAUUAGUACUUAUUCAAUAAAAAACACACGAAAGCUUAUAGCCUCUAUAAGUUGGAAGUGUUGCCGCAUCCAACACCGACAUACCCUAGCAUUUGUUUCAUACUUCUUAUUAGGUAUAUAACUUAUACAUUUGAAAAAACAUUUUUUGGUUAAUUUUAAAAAAUAAAUAUAUCAUCAAUUUAGAUAUUUUAUUAUAUGUUAUUAUUUUAUUAGAAUCUCUUUGUUUAUUUGUAUGUGGUGUCCGUAUCAUAGACAUUAAGACAUUAGUUUGUCGAAGUGUUUGUGUUAGAAUUUGUGCUUCAUAGCUUAUAACUAACUUUUGAUGAUAAUUAAGCUGUUCAUGCAACUUAAUAAAAAAAACUUCUUGAAAAGGCCACACCGCCGCAGGUAACUUAGCGAAACACAUUACUUACAUGAGUUCAAUUAAGUUACAUAUAUAAAUUAUUGAGAAAUGAUACCGUACCACUGUAAAUUAAGAAGUUCGGGUAUAGUUGAAUUUUAUAACAUCUAUUAUUUCUUCUCUACCCAUUCAUUUGCCUCCAUAUUUCAAAGUAAUAAACUCAACUCAUAUAUUCUUGCCUUCUUUCUUUAUUUCACAUUAACCCGCACAUCAAUCCAGCACCAGCGAAUUGAGUUUGAGUUUGAGUUGUGUAAAUUACAUUUGAGGCUUGCAGCUAACAAUUAACAUGAAUUUUGUCAUUGGUACGUCUACAAAUUCUAUAAACUCUUCUCAGUAAUAAUAUUAUGCCUCCUUAUCAUUCGUUUAGCUCAAACUAUAUUUACAUAUAAGUUCUAACUUCUAAAAUUCUAAAUAUACUGUAUAUGAACGCAGCAGCUAAACACAGCUUGCUCAAAACGACUAAGUGUGGAACUUCCUAGCUUCGGAGUCCAGAAUUCUAGAAAAGUUAAAGCACUGUGGAACUCAUAGAUUCUUGCUUUUAUUAUUAUUAUUAUUUCACAUUAACCCGCGCAUCAACUCAGUGAAUUGAGAUUUGAGUUGCCCAAAUUAUAUCUGAGGCUUGCAGUUGGUGGAUUGAUGCGCGGAUUAAUGACACAAAGAAAUAAGGAAAGAAUCUAAGUUGAGUUUAUGUUUUUGAAAUAUGGAGGCAAAGAAUGGGCCGAGAAGAAAUAAUAGAUGUUAUAAAAUUCAGCUGUACCAAAACGGCAAAACCCCCUUAAUUUAUGGGUACGUUCUCUAAGUUAUUUCUAAGUUAGUUAGUAAAAGUAAAAAUAAGAAAACCAAAAACCAAAAUCCAAAAUCCAAAAUCAAAGGGGUUUAGUUUAGAUGGUAAAACUCUGGUACCUUCUUCGAUUUUUAGCGAUGAAAAAAAAAUCAAAACCAAAAGGAAUAUAUAUAAAUACCUUGUCAUCGAUGUAAACAACCCAAAAUCGGGCAAUAGCUCGGUCAUAAGCAUUUUAUGGAAGGAGGGAGGGAGCAUUGUUGAACCAAACCUCAUCAAUGUACUCAACUAUGAUUGCAGAUUCACAUAUAACUUUAUCUCCAUGGAAGAAAACUGGGAUUUUCUUGUGCACAGGGUUGGACUUAAGAAGCAACUCACUUUUGGGAUUUAAGGUCUCUUCAACAACCUCAUAAUCUAAACCCUUAAGGUUAAGGGCAAUCUGCACCCUCAGGGCAAAUGGACUGAACCAAGCACCCAAAAGCCACA
rnacentral:lncRNA from 1 species